rnacentral:rRNA from 1 species
AUUCCAGCUCCAAUAGCGUAUAUUAAAGUUGUUGCGGUUAAAAAGCUCGUAGUUGGAGUUCUGCCAGGUGACGCUCGUCCGCCCAAGUGGUGUGUACAGGGCGUGCAUCUGGCCCUUUCAAGGGGAACGUGUCUGCUCUUUAUUGAGUGGUGCGAGAUCCUUGACUUUUACUUUGAGGAAAUCAGAGUGUUCCAAGCAGGCUCUCGUCGUGUAUAGCUCAGCAUGGAAUAAUAGCAUUGGACCUCGAUUCUAAGCUGUUGGUUGCCAGAAGCGAGGUAAUGAUGAAGAGGGAUAGUUGGGGGCAUUCGUGUUUAACUGUCAGAGGUGAAAUUCUUGGAUUUCAUUAAGAUGAACUAAUGCGAAGGCAUUUGCCAAGGAUGUUUUCAUUG